rnacentral:tRNA from 1 species
AUCAAUGUAGCAAAAUAAUGCAAUGGAUUUAAGCUCCAUAAAUAGGUCUUUCUCUUUGAUU